UUUCAGGGCGCGCUGGUCUGGUUUGCAGUGCCCAGCAUCUGCAUCCUUUUACCUAAGGGCUUUCUCCAGCUACCAGAGUUCAUCUUGCACGUGCGCAAGGUAGGCUGGAAGGGCUCAGUAGUUAACCCCACCACCACGACUGCCGGGCGGCCUUCAACCAACAACUGACCAAAGCUGGUAUAAAUAAGUAACCCAGCUCCCUUGCCACUCAGGCGGGAUAAGUCUAAGGAUUGCAUUGUAUCCUGUUUUCCAGUGUCCCCCAGCAGGGAUUAGGCUCAUUGUGGUAACUUGCUGGAUAAUGUGACAUUUACUGGCCUUCCCUUGCUUGUCUCACUUCCUCACUCCCUGCUCGUGCUUCCUUCAUUUUCUACGUGAACUAUGGGCACUGAAAUCCUUGUUUCAAGGUCUUCUUGGUACCAGAAGUUCUUCUAAGAAGCAGUGUCUCUGGAAAUUGCGUCACAGAUGGGAACAAGGACCAGCUGCUGGUGUCAGGUGAGGUCUGUUAGCAUCACAAGAACUAAGACUGUGGGUAGUCUUAGAAUUGGGUUGGGACACAGGGGAAGAAGAAUGCAAUAAGAUUGGCAGUAUACGGGAGAUCAACCGUAAUUAUUGAGACCUCUGGAUGGCUCAGCUGGUUGAGCAUCCAACUCUCGAUCUCAGCUCAGGUCUCCAUCUCAGGGUGGUGAGUUCAAGCCCUGUGUUGGGCUCCACAUUGGGUAUGAAGCCUUUUUUUUUUUUUUUUUUAAGGGACGGGUGGUGAUUAUAAGGACUGUGGGGUUGCUUGGUUGCUUAGAGGUGAAGUGCAGCAGGAACACUGAAAGAGAAUGAGAGGCUAAAAUCAUCCAGCUAUCAGCUCAAGUUACGGUGUAAAAGCCAGAAAGCCCUCAUUAAAGCCCUUAAAAAGAGCUCUCCUGUAGCCAGACAGCAGAUGUGCUUAAAACCAAGCACAGGAUCUGACUGUGUGAACAGCAAACUUGCAAAGCAUGUGGAAUUCAUAGCCCCGGCAAGUCUCCAAUGCUCAAGUCAAGGUCCUGAUAGGGCAGGGGUACUGGAAUUGACCAUGUGUUCCAGGUAUGGAUUUGCCUUUCCUGGCUGCAGUGCCUCAGCUAGUUCUACUGUCUGAGGGCUCACAGAAUGUCUGAUUUAUUGUCAUGGAUCUGCAGGACAUUGCCUUGCCAAAAGACUCAUUUUAUAGCAAAGAAUGUAUCAUAAGAACCAUGGGAUCUACUGGUUCCACUUCAUACCACAUCACCCAGAAACUGUUCGCCUAAUGUACGAUUCGAAUGACUUCGUAAAAAUGCAGAUUACAGUCAGUGGGAGAAAUCUGGGAGGAAGAGACAGCAGGGAAACCUUUUGGGAGACUGGAAUCAUAUGCCAUCACCACCACCAUCACCACUACCACCGCCAUGGACGUUUGUAGAGUGGUUUCACUAUAUAAGUUGUUUUCAAACUGGGUUGUGGGGAAUCCUAAGGGCUCUGAGAACCCAGCAGGUUCUGCCAACAAUGAAAAACUUGGUGCCAAAUAAUAAAUAUUUAAAAACA